rnacentral:misc_RNA from 1 species
AAGACCAUGCCUAGGCCCUCUGCCUAGCGUUGGAGAUCCGCCCAGGCGGUCUCUCAAAUCUCCCUGCGGAGCCGUGGUGGCCUCUGAGCGUAGUAGUUAUCCUUCGUCGCUUCUGUAGGUGCCGCGGCUACGGCUGUAAAACCCCCAUAGCACAAG